AUUGAACGCUGGCGGCAGGCCUAACACAUGCAAGUCGAACGAGUGGCGGACGGGUGAGUAAUGUCUGGGAAACUGCCCGAUGGAGGGGGAUAACUACUGGAAACGGUAGCUAAUACCGCAUACCAUGGGAUGUGCCCAGAUGGGAUUAGCUAGUAGGUGGGGUAACGGCUCACCUAGGCGACGAUCCCUAGCUGGCUUGAGAGGAUGACCAGCAAAACUGGAACUGAGAAACGGUCCAGAUUCCUACGGGAGGCGGAAGUGGGGAAUAUUGCACAAGGGGCGCAAGCCUGAUGCAGCCAUGCCGCGUGUAUGAAGAAGGCCUUCGGGUUGUAAAGUACUUUCAGCGAGGAGGCGUUACUCGCAGAAGAAGCACCGGCUAACUCCGUGCCAGCCACCGCGGUAAUUC
rnacentral:rRNA from 1 species